GAUGAAGAACGCAGCGAAAUGCGAUACUUGGUGUGAAUUGCAGAAUCCCGUGAACCAUCGAGUUUUUGAACGCAAGUUGCGCCCGAAGCCAUUAGGCCGAGGGCACGCCUGCCUGGGCGUCACACGUCGUUGCCCCCCCAUCUACUCCUUCGGGAUUGCGGGGGGCGGAUGAUGGCCUCUCGUGCGCCUCGUCGCGCGGUUGGCCUAAAUGCCAAGUCCUCGGCGACGCACGCCACGACAAUCGGUGGUUGCGAAACCUCGGUUGCCUGUCGUGUGCGGUCGUCGCGCAUCGAGGGCUCGAAAAAAUUGCCGGGCUUCGGCUCGACUUUCAACGCGACCCCAGGUCAGGCGGGGUUACCCGCUGAAUUUAAGCAUAUCAAUAAGCGGAGGA
rnacentral:misc_RNA from 1 species